UACGUAGGUGGCAAGCGUUGUCCGGAAUUAUUGGGCGUAAAGGGCUCGCAGGCGGUUUCUUAAGUCUGAUGUGAAAGCCCCCGGCUCAACCGGGGAGGGUCAUUGGAAACUGGGAAACUUGAGUGCAGAAGAGGAGAGUGGAAUUCCACGUGUAGCGGUGAAAUGCGUAGAGAUGUGGAGGAACACCAGUGGCGAAGGCGAAUCUCUGGUCUGUAACUGACGCUGAGGAGCGAAAGCGUGGGGAGCGAACAGG
rnacentral:rRNA from 1 species